UACGGAGGGUGCAAGCGUUAUCCGGAUUCACUGGGUUUAAAGGGUGCGUAGGCGGGCAGGUAAGUCAGUGGUGAAAUCCCCCGAGCUUAACUUGGGAACUGCCGUUGAUACUAUCUGUCUUGAAUACUAUGGAGGUAAGCGGAAUAUGUCAUGUAGCGGUGAAAUGCUUAGAUAUGACAUAGAACACCAAUUGCGAAGGCAGCUUGCUACACAGUUAUUGACGCUGAGGCACGAAAGCGUGGGGAGCGAACAGG
rnacentral:rRNA from 1 species